GCGAUAAACAAUAACAAUUAUUAUUGGCACAAAUAGUCACAUCACUGCUGAGUAACGAAUGUACCAAGAUAAGAAGUCAAGCUGUAAUUUCAGUCCUGCUAUCUUUCCAAAGAACAUGCAGCCAAGAUAACCUUACCAUUCAGCACGAUAGCCUCCUGCAAAAGCUGGGGCAGGGAGUGUUCUCACUGGGGAGGCCUCCUUUGCUCACAGGAGGUGCAAAAACAGGCAGUAAGAAGACCUACUUCAAGUCCAGGCUCCACUAACAACCAGAUUCAAAAAGAGAAUUCAUCACUUUCAAACUACUGGUUCAGGGAGUCACUGGAGGUAUGGACCUAAUGCUUACAACUUGGAAGCGCCAGAAAGAAAGUACAGAAGAUGCAGUGGUCAGCCCCCCACUGAUCCCAAGGACUCAAGCCAUUCACCCAAUAGAGUUUGCCCUUGUGCUCAUGAUGAAUCAUGGAACCAUCACCCUUGAAUGUGCUAUAAUUUUAAUUUUAAAGAAAUGCCCAAAGGACCAUUCAUCUCUUAGAGCACUCUUUCUUACCCACACCAUGAAGCAGUUGAUUUCUUUAUGUUCCGAUGAGUAGCCAACCUAUAAACAGGAACAUCAAGCUCUGUGAUGUCUUUUUUGCCGAGGAAUAGUGGCG
ensembl:lncRNA